ensembl:lncRNA
CAGGUCUACAUCUCUACAUGGCUCUGUAGUGUUUUCACAUCUAAUUCACAAGUCUACAUCUCUACAUGGCUCUGUAGUGUUUUCACAUCUAAUUCACAGGUCUACAUCUCUACAUGGCUCUGUAGUGUUUUCACAUCUAAUUCACAGGUCUACAUCUCUACAUGGCUCUGUAGUGUUUUCACAUCUAAUUCACAGGUCUACAUCUCUACAUGGCUCCAUAGUGUUUUCACAUCUAAUUCACAGGUCUAUAUGGCUCUGUAGUGUUUUCACAUCUAAUUCACAGGUCUACAUCUCUACAUGGCUCUGUAGUGUUUUCACAUCUAAUUCACAGGUCUACAUCUCUACAUGGCUCUGUAGUGUUUUCACAUCUAAUUCACAAGUCUACAUCUCUACAUGGCUCUGUAGUGUUUUCACAUCUAAUUCACAGGUCUACAUCUCUACAUGGCUCUGUAGUGUUUUCACAUCUAAUUCACAGGUCUACAUCUCUACAUGGCUCUGUAGUGUUUUCACAUUUAAUUCACAGGUCUACAUCUCUACAUGGCUCUGUAGUGUUUUCACAUCUAAUUCACAGGUCUACAUCUCUACAUGGCUCUGUAGUGUUUUCACAUCUAAUUCACAGGUCUACAUCUCUACAUGGCUCUGUAGUGUUUUCACAUCUAAUUUACAAGUCUACAUCUCUAUAUGGCUCUGUAGUGUUUUCUGUGGCUUACUGCCGGUGUAGCACGCCUGUUUGUGUGUGUGUUGUUUCUGUGAGUAUAUCGUAGUUUUAGUAGUCCACUGUAUCAAAACUGCUGUCUGCUUGCCCCGUCCUCAUAUCUAAAGAGCAGGGCAGGCUUCUAAUAAUGGGUACAUGUAGGGGUGUGCGCUUGUGUUUGCUUUACAUCGUCUUGGAUACAGUAAAGUCUGUUUUCUGAUGGUUUGUGUCUUGGUAUGCAUCACAAAUUAGCAACUGACUUUUUGAUGACUUCAUGAUUUUUAAGUGAUGACAUAAUCAACAAAACUUGAGUAUUUAUAGUAGUAACAGUGACAUGGCAAAGCCAUUCUCAUUAGGCUGAUGUCAAACCACAGCUACUGACUACUGUUACCACCUCAGCAGUGAUAUGCAUUCAAUAAGGUACCAGUUGUUUAUGAAAAAGGAUUGCAGCUAUAUGAUGGGUACUGGAUGUGUUUAAACCUCUUAACCUAAUUGUGACAGCAUUGACUAUGAUAUCUUACAAAAUAUAAAUAAGUAUCUAUUUCUUUUGUUUUCUGGGGGGUGGGGGGUGUGGCCUAGCCAGUCUCCAGACCUUAAUCCCAUAGAAAAUAUGUGGAGGGAGCUGAAGGUUUGAGUUGCCAAACAUCAGCCACGAAACCUUAAUGACUUGGAGAAAUCUGCAAAGAGGAGUGGGACAAAAUCCCUCCUGAGAUGUGUGCAAAUCUGGUGGCCAACUACAAGAAACUUCUGACCUCUGUGAUUACCAACAAGGGUUUUGCCACCAAGUACUAAGUUAUGUUUUGCAGAGGGGUCAAAUACUUAUUUCCCUCAUUAAAAUGCAAAUCAAUUUAUAACAUUUUUGACAUGCGUUUUUCUGGAUUUUUUUGUUGUUAUUCUGUCUCUCACUGUUCAAAUAAACCUACCAUUAAAAUUAUAGACGAAUCAUGUCUUUGUCAGUGGGAAAUGUACAAAAUCAGCAGGGGAUCAAAUACUUUUUUCCCUCACUGUAUGUGUGUGUAAAUAUUGUACAUAAUCAAUGCUGUAAUUUGGGGACUCUGUAUGCUUUUUGAUUGAGUGAUGCGUCUCCAGCUUUGUUCAAGCGAUAACUCCAUGUCGUACAUCUGUGUCUCCUCGACUACUGUGUAUAUAAACUUGCAUGCGUGUAUGAAAACGUAUUUUUCUUCUUCUACCAGAAUAAGGUUUUUUUAUUUUUAAAGUUAAUGUGUCACUAUAGUUAGUUUUUGUUUAGCCAUUUUGUUGAAGUGAACAAGGUGUGUGCUCAGAUUAAUAUAGAUGUGUAUAUUAUUGUGAAAGGAAUGCCAAUCGUGGGCAGGUCUAUAAACAUGAAGCUGUGUAGAGAAAUAUUUGCCAAACGAUGCCCUGCGAAUAUUGUUUUAAUUAAAGGGGAUUGGCAGGAAUAGCUGGCAGUGCUGUUUAUGAGCGUCAAGUAUAUGAAAUAAAGAAUGAUGUUCUCUAGCAAAUUAAAUCAUGUGUUCCUCUGGAUAUAAAGCUACACAACAUUGAGUACAUUGCAGCUUACAUAAAUAGGUCUACUGCAGGUCAUUUUGGAGACAAUAUUAUGUCAGAGUGCAUGCACACUGGAGAGCAUGGGCGCAAAAACACUACACCUCAAUAACAAUAGCAUUGUUUAGUUCUCACAAUCACAACUCAAAAAAUGUAAUCGUAUGAGUUACUGUGCCUUCAAUGUUUGCAAAUCAGAUAUCAAUUGUUGUUGGGAAUAAAAAAGGUCAAUUUUCAAUUAGUAUUGUUGGGUUCUGAGAAUAUGAAAUAUACUUAUUCAUGUCACUGAGGAAGAGAGGGUAAUGUAUGAUGUUUACAUUAUGUCAGGAUAUGUUAUUGUUAGCCA